ACAUAAAAUAAGUAUUAUUUUGUCAUUAAUUACUGAUAAUUUUCUUUUGAAAUUAAAAAUAUUAUAGUGCAUAAUUAUGCAUGUGACUUAUCCAAUUUUAAAACAUAUAGAGCAUCAAAAUCUCCCAAAAAACUAUCAUUACGAUUAUAAAACAGUGUGGACUGUUCACAAUUAAUUCCAGUUUACCAAUAAUAUUUUAGAAAAAGAAUUCUUGUCUAAUUACAAAAAUCCUCAAUCUGUUAUAAGUCAGCCUGUUAUUCAUUAGAAAUGUGGGAUCUGCAGAUGAAAUGACAGGCUUUAGGCCUUGAACAUUUGUGGGUUUAUGAGUAAGGAUGGGUUAACAGUGGAUUUUUCCUGAUCUCAACUGAUUCAGACACAACUUGAAACAAAUCAAAGGUUUAUUGAAGGAUGUAAAAAGAGAGAGCUUUACAAUUAAACUUGUGAAGAUUAACAAAUGUGGAAGAAUAAAUACCUUGUUAUAGUUAAAUAGAUAUAGAUGAUCAUUGCUUAAUAUAUCAGUCCUCAAUCACAUUCAGUUCCUUAGGAUGAAAAUAAUGCAUAGCUUGUAUAGCUAGUUGCUAUUGCCUUGACAUUCUCAUGAAGACAUCACCAGUCUGAUAAAAUAAAUCAUCCUCUUGUCUUUUUCUGUUCCUCCACAUAACCACUUAUUCUUUGUCUAGCUCUCUUGACACCCAGCAAGUGAUUCCUGGGUACAUUUUAUUAUUACCAAGACUUCUGAAUGACUCCACAUAUAUCCCAUGAGAACUGAUUAAUGUUUCAUCUUCCUUCCCAAAGAAAAAGGUCAGUUAUCUUUUUCUGUUUACUAAUUGUCAUAUUUCAUUCGUUCUUCCCUAUAUUGACUUUCCUCGCAACACUGGUACAUAAUAAGAUCCUUCAUCUCUAUCAUUGUAUCACUUAUUUGUCUUUGAUAUUUAAUAUUAUAAAAGUCUUUGUGCAAAGUAGUACAUUCUUUAUAUUUAGUUUUCUCUCCAUCUUACAUG
rnacentral:lncRNA from 1 species